GAUGAACGCUGGCGGCGUGCCUAAUACAUGCAAGUCGAGCGAACAGACGAGGAGCUUGCUCCUCUGACGUUAGCGGCGGACGGGUGAGUAACACGUGGAUAACCUACCUAUAAGACUGGGAUAACUUCGGGAAACCGGAGCUAAUACCGGAUAAUAUAUUGAACCGCAUGGUUCAAUAGUGAAAGACGGUUUUGCUGUCACUUAUAGAUGGAUCCGCGCCGCAUUAGCUAGUUGGUAAGGUAACGGCUUACCAAGGCAACGAUGCGUAGCCGACCUGAGAGGGUGAUCGGCCACACUGGAACUGAGACACGGUCCAGACUCCUACGGGAGGCAGCAGUAGGGAAUCUUCCCGAAUGGGCGAAAGCCUGACGGAGCAACGCCGCGUGAGUGAUGAAGGUCUUCGGAUCGUAAAACUCUGUUAUUAGGGAAGAACAAAUGUGUAAGUAACUAUGCACGUCUUGACGGUACCUAAUCAGAAAGCCACGGCUAACUACGUG
rnacentral:rRNA from 1 species